rnacentral:rRNA from 1 species
UACGGAGGGUGCAAGCGUUAUCCGGAUUCACUGGGUUUAAAGGGUGCGUAGGUGGGCAGGUAAGUCAGUGGUGAAACCUCCGGGCUUAACUCGGAAACUGCCAUUGAUACUAUCUGUCUUGAAUACCGUGGAGGUCAGCGGAAUAUGUCAUGUAGCGGUGAAAUGCUUAGAUAUGACAUAGAACACCAAUUGCGAAGGCAGCUGGCUACACGAAUAUUGACACUGAUGCACGAAAGCGUGGGGAUCAAACAGG